UCCCUGGUGGUCUAGUGGUUAAGACUCCAAACUAUCAACACAGGGGGUCCAGGUUCAAUCCCUGGCUUCGGAA
rnacentral:tRNA from 1 species